UACGGAGGUGGCAAGCGUUGUUCGGAUUUAUUGGGUGUAAAGGGCAUGUAGGUGUCUUUGUAAGUUCUGGCUGAAAUCCUCCGGCUCAACCGGAGAACGUGUCAGAAUACUGCGAGGAUUGAGUGCGAAAGAGGAGAACGGAAUUCCCGGUGUAAGGGUGAAAUCUGUAGAUAUCGGGAGGAACACCAGUGGCGAAAGCGGUUCUCUGGUUCGUAACUGACACUGAAAUGCGAAAGCUAGGGGAGCAAACAGGAUUAGAUACCCCAGUA
rnacentral:rRNA from 1 species